rnacentral:rRNA from 1 species
AGUGAACGCUGGCGGUAGGCCUAACACAUGCAAGUCGAACGGCAGCACUGUAAGAGCUUGCUCUUACGGGUGGCGAGUGGCGGACGGGUGAGGAAUACAUCGGAAUCUACUUUUUCGUGGGGGAUAACGUAGGGAAACUUACGCUAAUACCGCAUACGACCUACGGGUGAAAGCAGGGGAUCUUCGGACCUUGCGCGAUUGAAUGAGCCGAUGUCGGAUUAGCUAGUUGGCGGGGUAAAGGCCCACCAAGGCGACGAUCCGUAGCUGGUCUGAGAGGAUGAUCAGCCACACUGGAACUGAGACACGGUCCAGACUCCUACGGGAGGCAGCAGUGGGGAAUAUUGGACAAUGGGCGCAAGCCUGAUCCAGCCAUACCGCGUGGGUGAAGAAGGCCUUCGGAUUGUAAAGCCCUUUUGUUGGGAAAGAAAAGCAGCAGGUUAAUACCCCGCUGUUCUGACGGUACCCAAAGAAUAAGCACCGGCUAACUUCGUG